ACGAACGCUGGCGGCGUGCCUAAUACAUGCAAGUUGAGCGCUGAAGGUUGGUACUUGUACCCACUGGAUGAGCAGCGAACGGGUGAGUAACGCGUGGGGAAUCUGCCUUUGAGCGGGGGACAACAUUUGGAAACGAAUGCUAAUACCGCAUAAAAACUUUAAACACAAGUUUUAAGUUUGAAAGAUGCAAUUGCAUCACUCAAAGAUGAUCCCGCGUUGUAUUAGCUAGUUGGUGAGGUAAAGGCUCACCAAGGCGAUGAUACAUAGCCGACCUGAGAGGGCGAUCGGCCACAUUGGGACUGAGACACGGCCCAAACUCCUACGGGAGGCAGCAGUAGGGAAUCUUCGGCAAUGGACGAAAGUCUGACCGAGCAACGCCGCGUGAGUGAAGAAGGGUUUCGGAUCGUAAAACUCUGUUGGUAGAGAAGAACGUUGGUGAGAGUGGAAAGCUCAUCAAGUGACGGUAACUACCCAGAAAGGGACGGCUAACUACGUG
rnacentral:rRNA from 1 species